AUGGCCUCUCCACUUAUGAAAAAUAAUGCAUGGCCAUUCUCAUGGCCGUUGAGCAAUGGCGCCCUUACCUGCACAACGAUGAAUUCAUCAUCCCUACAGAUCAGAGGAGUCUCAUACAUCUUGAUGAUCAGCAUCUGUCCACCCCGUGGCAGCAGAAGGCAUUCACCAAGCUGCUCGGGAUGCGUUACAAAAUCUGCUACCGACCCGGACCUUCAAACACUCUUGCUGAUGCGCUCUCGCGCCGCACCCCAGAGGAGUUUGUGA
rnacentral:rRNA from 1 species